AUUGAACGCUGGCGGCAGGCCUAACACAUGCAAGUCGAGCGAGCGGCGGACGGGAGAGUAAGGAAUGGGGCUCUGAGCGAUAGAGGGGGUUAACUACUGGAAACUGAGGCUACAAACGCACACUAUCGGAUGAAUCGGUGUGGGAUUGGCUAGUAGGUGGGGGAAAGGCAUACCUAGGCGACGAUCUCUAACUGGUCUGAGAGGAUGAUCAGCCACACUGGGACUGAGACACGGUCCAGACGCCUACGGGAGGCAGCAGUGGGGAAUAUUGCACAAUGGGCGCAAGCCUGAUGCAGCCAUGCCGCGUGUAUGAAGAAGGUCUUAGGGUUGUAAAGUACUUUCAGCGGGGAGGCGUUACCCGCAGAAGAAGCACCGGCUAACUCCGUGCCAGCAGCCGCGGUAAUAC
rnacentral:rRNA from 1 species